CCUACGGGUGGCUGCAGUCGAGAAUCAUUCACAAUGGGGGAAACCCUGAUGGGGCGACGCCGCGUGGGGGAAUGAAGGUCUGCGGAUUGUAAACCCCUGUCAUGUGGGAGCAAAUUAAAAAGAUAGUACCACAAGAGGAAGAGACGGCUAACGCUGGGCCAGCAGCCGCGGUAAUACAGAGGUCUCAAGCGUUGUUCGGAAUCACUGGGCGUAAAGCGUGCUUAGGCUUUUUCGUAAGUCGUGUGUGAAAGGCGCGGGCUCCACCCGCGGACGGCACAUGAUACUGCGAGACUAGAGUAAUGGCGGGGGAACCGGACUUCUCGUUGUCGCCGU
rnacentral:rRNA from 1 species